rnacentral:rRNA from 1 species
UGUGCAAAGGUAGCAUAAUCAGUUGACUUAUAAUUGAAGUCUAGAAUGAAUGAACAUACGGGUAGCCACUGUCUUUAUAGCACUAAGACGAAGUUAGUCAUGAAGUGCAAAUACUUCACAACGUAAAAUAGACGAGAAGACCCUUGAAACUUUCUAAUUUUGUUGGGGCAACAGAGUAACAGUUAAUUUACUUUAUUGACACGUCGUAAAGAAGAUAGAGUAAGUUACUCUAGGGAUAACAGCAUAAUUUGAAAAAGUUUGUGACCUCGAUGUUGGACUAGGUAUAGGCGUUCCUAGAAGGCACGUACUAUUGCUCUGUUCGAGCGCAGGCACCUACAUGAUCUGAGUUCAAAUCGA